UUUGGGACAAUGGGCGCAAGCCUGAUCCAGCAAUGCCGCGUGAGUGAAGAAGGCCUUCGGGUUGUAAAGCUCUUUUGUCAGGGAAGAAACGGUGAGCUUUAAUACAGUUUGCUAAUGACGGUACCUGAAGAAUAAGCACCGGCUAACUACGUGCCAGCAGCCGCGGUAAUACGUAGGGUUCAAGCGUUAAUCGGAAUUUCUGGGGGUAAAGCGGCGCAGGCGGUAUAUAAGACAGUGGGAAAUCCCCGAGCUCAACCUGGGAAUGCAUCUGUGCGUAUAGCUAGAGUACGGUAGAGGGGAGGAAUUUCGCGUUAGCAGGAAAUGGAGAUAACGGGGAACCCGAGGGGAAGCAUCCCCGGACAAUAGUCACAGAGGCGAAUAG
rnacentral:rRNA from 1 species